GGAGUUUGGGCCGUGUCUCAGUCCCAAUGUGGCCGUUCAUCCUCUCAGACCGGCUACUGAUCGUCGCCUUGGUGGGCCCUUACCCCACCAACUAGCUAAUCAGACGCAGGCCCAUCCUUCAGUGACCGGUUGCCCGGCCUUUGGUAUCCCGGUCAUGCGACCAGCAUACGUCAUUCGGUAUUAGCACCCCUUUCGAGGUGUUGUCCCCAUCUGAAGGGCAGGUUGCCUACGCGUUACUCACCCGUUUGCC
rnacentral:rRNA from 1 species